CGUCAUCCAACGCAACCGAUGACACUUCAUGUCCUCGUAAUUUCGAGCGAGUGGCGGACAAGUGCUUGAUGUAUCUGAGCGAGGAGCAGACAUGGCGCUCUGCUGAGGACACUUGCAGAUCCAGAACUGGUCACCUCGUCACCUUCGCCGACGUGGACGAGCUCAUCUUCGUGCUGCGAUUCCUCACCCGGCCUGGAUCUGCCACGAACGUCUUCCCGCCGCUGUGGGUUGGCAUCUCCGCGGA
rnacentral:lncRNA from 1 species